UACGGAGGUGGCAAGCGUUGCUCGGAAUCACUGGGCGUAAAGGGCGCGUAGGCGGGGAGGUAAGUCGGGUGUGAAAUCCCUCGGCCCAACCGAGGAACUGCGCCCGAGACUGCUUCUCUUGAGUCCCGGAGAGGAAGAUGGAAUUCCCGGUGUAGCGGUGAAAUGUGUAGAGAUCGGGAGGAACACCGGUGGCGAAGGCGGUCUUCUGGACGGUGACUGACGCUGAGACGCGAAAGCGUGGGGAGCGAACAGG
rnacentral:rRNA from 1 species